rnacentral:rRNA from 1 species
AUUGAACGCUGGCGGCAGGCCUACCACAUGCACGUCGAACGAGUGGCGGACGGGUGAGUAAUGUCUGGGAAACUGCCUGAUGGACGGGGAUAACUACUGGAAACGGUAGCUAAUACCGCAUACCAUCGGAUGUGCCCAGAUGGGAUUAGCUAGUAGGUGGGGUAAAGGCUCACCUAGGCGACGAUCCCUAGCUGGUCUGCGAGGAGGACCAGCCACACUGGAACUGAGACACGGUCCAGACUCCUACGGGAGGCAGCAGUAGGGAAUAUUGCACAAUGGGCGCAAGCCUGAUGCAGCCAUGCCGCGUGUGUGAAGAAGGCUUUCGGGUUGUAAAGUACUUUCGGCAGGGAGGCGUUACCCGCAGAAGAAGCACAGGCUAACUCCGUGCCAGCAGCCGCGGUAAUAC